AGAGUUUGAUCAUGGCUCAGGACGAACGCUGACGGUGUGCUUUAGACAUGCAAGUCGAACGAGAAAGCCCUUCGGGGUGAGUAAAGUGGCGAACGGGUGAGUAACACGUGGGCAACCUGCCCCUCGCAGGGGGACAACCGGAGGAAACUCCGGCUAAUACCUCGUACGCUUGUUGGAUCGCAUGGUCCGGCAAGGAAAGGUAGCUUCGGCCAUCCGGCGAGGGAUGGGCCCGCGUUGCAUUAGCUAGUUGGUGGGGUAACGGCCUACCAAGGCGACGAUGCGUAGCUGGUCUGAGAGGAUGAUCAGCCACACUGGGACUGAGACACGGCCCAGACUCCUACGGGAGGCAGCAGCCAGGAAUCUUGGGCAAUGGGCGAAAGCCUGACCCAGCAACACCGUGUGGGCGAUGAAGGCCUUAGGGUCGUAAAGCCCUGUUGAUAGGGACGAAGGGCGAAGGGUUAAUAGCCCCUAGCUUGACGGUACCUUUCGAGGAAGCCCCGGCUAACUACGUGCCAGCAGCCGCGGUAAUACGUAGGGGGCGAGCGUUGUCCGGAAUUAUUGGGCGUAAAGAGCGUGUAGGCGGUUCGGUAAGUCUGCUGUGAAAUCCUGGGGCUCAACCCCGGGCGUGCAGCGGAUACUGCCGGGCUAGAGGGUGGUAGAGGCGAGUGGAAUUCCGAGUGUAGCGGUGAAAUGCGCAGAUAUUCGGAGGAACACCAGUAGCGAAGGCGGCUCGCUGGGCCACACCUGACGCUGAGACGCGAAAGCGUGGGGAGCGAACAGGAUUAGAUACCCCAGUAGUCC
rnacentral:rRNA from 1 species